rnacentral:rRNA from 1 species
UACAGAGGCCUCAAGCGUUGUUCGGAAUCACUGGGCGUAAAGAGCGCGUAGGCGGCUAGAUAAGUCCGGUGUGAAAGUCACAGGCUCAACCUGUGAAUGCCGCUGGAAACUGUCUGGCUAGAGUCCGGAAGGGGCGAGUGGAAUUCCUGGUGUAGCGGUGAAAUGCGCAGAUAUCAGGAGGAACACCAGUGGCGAAGGCGAUCUUCUGGACGGAUACUGACGCUGAGGCGCGAAAGCUAGGGGGAGCAAACGGG